AACAAAUCACAAUCCCCACUUCCCAUUUGAAAACACAAGCCUAAUUACAGCAUAUCCCAUCUUCAAGCCCCCUAAAAACCAAAAAACAGGAUAGGUUUAUCCCUAGAUACCAGAAAGGCUUGACAAUAGAAGACAAUUAAAAUUGACAGAAUACAACAUAUCUAAGCAUUUAUCAAAAGCUUUAGACAAUAAAACAAUAGUGCAAAAAUAGUUUUCACAAUUAAGAGAAUAACUUGUCUUUAUUUUAGUAAAAUAACAAUAAUACAGAUGAAUGGGAACUUCUAGUCAAGUUUCUCAUUUAGUGUCAUGUGAUUAAUUUCACGUUUGAAGAUAUAUGGAAGGAUCCCAUCUCAGCCCACUACCAAAUUUAUUGACUAUUUUCAGCUUGUUUUAUUAUUUAAUCUAUUGGGUCUGUAACGCCACAGGCAUCUUAAUUUUGUUUUUAUGGUAACAUUUCUAAUCAAGAGAGUAGAAACUGAUAUUUCUAACAAUCCAAUGUUAAACCUUUCAAAAAUUGAUGCCACCAACAAUGAUACAAAAAAAUAACCAAACACUCAAAGGUAGCAACAAUAUAUAUAUAUAUAUAUAUAUAUAUGCAAUACACAACUGCAGACCCAUUCCCCCAACCAAAUUAUAAAAAAACCAUCAGCCAGUAAACAAUAACAGAACAUCAAGGGUAAAAAUCAGAUCAAAUCCAAAAAGCAACAAGCUAGGAAAGUUUAGAAAAAUUCUGGUGAAAUUUAAGAAACAGGAAAGGCGAAAGCAACCUAGAAACCCAAACAGAGAACCCAAGAGAGAGCGAUUACCUUGGGUUUCGGGUUUUCACAGGAUGAGGUGGAUUGGAGUUCAAUUCAUACCUGAUCUGAAGACAUGGAUCCGAAUACAUUCACUGGAUUUGAAGAAUUCAUUUCAUCCAUGGGAACUUGAUUUGAAGAACGCACUUCAUCAAUGGGAACUCAGGUGCCUGAAAAUGGUAGGUUUUCGACACUGGAAGGUGGUUGGAGUGAUAGUGGUGGUCAUUGAAAGGGUCGACGACGGUGAGAAGCCAUAACCACUGAUGAAGAGGAAGUUAGAGGUGAAGUCUCGGUGAACAAGAGCCCGAUAAAAUUUUCCCCCCUUUUCCUUUAUCUUUUUCUCUUAUUUUCCUCUUUAUUUCCUCGUUAUUUUUUAAGGAAAAUAAUAGGGAAAAUAUUACAAUGUUUUUUUUAAUAUUUUCCUUUAUAUUUUUUUUCCAUCAUAUUUUCCAUGUCAUCCAAACUAAAAAAACCAUUUUCCUCUAUAUUUUUUUUCCUUUCCUUAACAUUUUCAGGAACCAAACAUAACCUAUUCAUUCAUUAGUUUUUUAGGUAAGUUCAUUAGUUUUAUUUUUAUUAGGCAAGAGUUCAUUAGUUUUUCUUCAAAAAAAAAUGUUUUUUCUUUUUUCUUUUUUAUGUUAGAAACGCUUUUUAAAUUGUAUCAAAUAUUUGAUUUUUCAUUAAAAACAUUUUUUAUGCUAUAAGUGCUUUCUAAAAGCAGUACCAUGAGGACCUUGACCUCUUGCCUCUAAUAAGGCUAAUGAGAUGAGUGGUUGGUAAUUGCGUGUCUCCACUGGCUUUAGCAAGUGAAUGUGCUCGUUGACUUGCUUUGCUGAAAAUGCAAUGAAUGUCUUUGCUUUGCUAUAAUCAUAGGACUCAGAGGUGUUGUGCCCAAGGUUUAAAAUAUCAACAAAUACAGAUAUAUCGGUACUUGAUUUUACAGAUAUAUAGGAAAUAUUGGAGAAAUAUCAGUGGAUAUUUUUACUACAAAAAAAUAAGUAAAAAGAUGAGAAAAAUGUAUAAACAAAAUUAUUUGUAUUAGAAAAUUUUUAAGGUACAAUUUUCUAGAGUAAUAUUCUUUACAAAAGAAUUUUUUUUUUCUUAUUUGAUCACAAUAAAAAAAAUAUAUAUUUAGAAAUAAAAUUAUUUGUAUUAGAAAUAUUUUAAGGUAAUUUUUUUGGCUUAUUAUCAAAUUACUUUUGUUGAACUUUGAAUACAUGUGUAGAACUUUGUAUACUUCCCCAAAUUUACAAGAAUAUCUUAUGAAACCUCUUUUUAAUCCUGUUUUAGAUUUGAAAUCUCAAAUAUUUUAUUGCUCAAAGUCCUAGAGCUUAAGGAAUGCCAGAGAGAACUAUAUGCAUUUUGAUGCUAAGUAUAAAAAACAAAAAAUAUAUAUUUUUUCUGAAAAAUUUAUAAUAUUAAAUAAAAUAAUAUAAUAUAUUUUAAAAUUAUAAAAUUAGUUAAAAUUAAAAAAAUUAAAUUUGACUUUUGUUUCAAUAUAUUUACAUUUAAAUUCUAUACAUAUUUCAUUUAAUAAUAUUUAAAAUAUUAUUAUAUUUAUACUUAUGCAUGAUUUAAUUUAAUAAUAUUAAAGAUAAAAAAUAAAUGUUAUUGUUUUUUAAUUUAGUUAUAUAUAUUUUUAAUUUUAAUAAUAUAUAAAUUAUACAUUUACGACAUCAUCAAUUUGACGCGGUUCAACUAUUAGUCCAACUAGUGAACGAUGAACUAGUAGCUUUUUCAAUUCAUUAUGCGAUCCAAUUCCAAAAACAUUGUUUAAUAUUUAAUAUUUGAAUUUUAUUUUAUUAAUGAUCUCUUUAGAAUGUCAUCGAGGUUUUUAUCAGAAUUAAUUGCUAUGUUUUAUUUUUCCAAAAAUAAAAUUAUUUUCUUCUUAAAAAGUAAAUUUCUUCCCACACUAAAUUCACUACUUCAAGUCAAUAAAAUCAUUUCCUCUUAUUCUAGUUUGCUUUUAUUUAUUUAUUUUAAGUUAUUAUAUUUAUCAAUAAUGAUAUUUGUCUAUAAAAUAUUAAAAAAUAAAUAUAUCACUAAUUCUAAAUAUAUCAAUCCAUCCCCUUAUUCUUUAAAUUAUUUUUAUUUUCAAUUUUUAAAAUUUAUAUUUUAAUUUUUGCUUUUUUAUUUUUUUUUAUUUUUUUAUUUUUAUUUUUCACUUCUCGAUUGGAAUUUUUCUUUCUUAUUUACUUUAAUUUUUUUUCACUAAAUUGACUACUUCAAGUUAAUAAAAUCAUUUGUUAUUAUUUUAGUUUACUUUUAUUUAUUUAUUUAUUGUAAAUUAUAAUAUUGGUCAAUAACAAGAUUUAUCUAUAAAAUGUUAGAAAAUAAAUAUAUUAUUAAUUUUAAAUAGAUGAACCCAUUCCCUCUUUCUUUAAUGAAUUUUAUUAUAAUUAUUCAAUAAAAAAUUAAUAUCUACCUAUUUUAUGAUCUUAUUUGAGUAUAUUUUAUUUUAAAACAUUUAUAUUUAUUUAAAUAAUUAUAUUAAUAGGAAAAAUCAUAUUUGUUUUCUUGGAGAGAGGAUAAGAUUAAAUUUUAUUUGUUGUUUAAAAAACAUAACAUUUCAAAUUGGAAUUCAAAGACAUACAAUCUAUAUCAAGUUUAUUUAUUUAUUUCCUAUAUUUAUUUUUAUUAAUAUCAAACUUUGUUUAAAUUCGAAGUUAAGUCUUAUAAUUAGUUAAUAAAUUUAUUAUUUAUUUUAUAUAUUUGUUCUUAUUAAAAUUUUCUUUUUCUUUUUGAUUAAUAAAUUAAAAUAUGAAUUAAACUAUAUAACAAAUUGUUAUUAAGAUAUUGAAAUUAGAAGAAUUAUCAUAUGUCUAUACAUAUCUUCUAAUAUUAAUAUUUGGAAUAAAAAGUUUAGAUAAUACAUAAUAAGUGUAACGACCCGCUCCCAACCGUGUAGAUAUUGUCCGCUUUGGAUCCAAAGGGCCCCUCACGGCUUUAAAACGCGUCUACUUGGUUAAGAGGAGUCUCUACAUAUAUAGCGCCAGGAACAUUCUCCCCUAUCCGAUGUGGGACAUCACAAAUACCCCCCCCCCAUGCAGACACAACGUCCUCGUUGUGUCCCAUGGGAUUACGGGGCCAGAACAAACAGACACCCCUUACGGAGCCAAACAAACCCCCACACCGGGGUCGGGGAUCGGCUCUGAUACCAUUUGUAACGACCCGUACCCAACCAUGUAGAUAUUAUCCGCUUUGGGCCCAAAGGGGCCCUCACGGCUUUAAAACGCGUCUACUUGGUUAAGAGGAGCCUCUACAUAUAUAGCGCUAGGAACAUUCUCCCCUAUCCGAUGUGGGACAUCACAAACACCCCCCCAUGCAGACACAACGUCCUCGUUGUGUGCCAUGGGAUUGUGGGGCCAAACAGACAAAGCCAAACAAACCCCCACACCGGGGUCGGGGAUCGGCUCUGAUACCAUUUGUAAUGGCCCGCUCCCAACCGUGUAGAUAUUGUCCGCUUUGGACCCAAAGGGGCCCUCACGGCUUUAAAACGCGUCUACUUGGUUAAGAGGAGCCUCUACAUAUAUAGCGCCAGGAACAUUCUCCCCUAUCCGAUGUGGGACAUCACAAACACCCCCCAUGCAGACACAACGUCCUCGUUGUGUCCCAUGGGAUUGUGGGGCCAAACAGACAAAGCCAAACAAACCCCCACACCGGGGUCGGGGAUCGGCUAGGAGCCUCUACAUAUAUAGCGCCAGGAACAUUCUCCCCUAUCCGAUGUGGGACAUCACAAUAAGUAAUUAAUUAUUUCUUAUUAAAUUAAUUAGUCAUAAUGAAUAUAAUUAUACUUGAUUUAAUUUAUUGUUUACUAUUUAACAAACAAACAUAUUUUAUUAUUUGUAGAAUUUUGAAAACUAAAAUACCUAUUCAAAUAAGAUUUAUAACUUUUAUAAAAUUAAAUCAAGAAAAAGUAUACUUUAAUCAUAAUAUUCUUCUAAAUAUGGAAGUGGGGGCAUUUAUGAAUAUUGAAAAAAAGAAUUAGACCUUUGUGACACAUAUCAUAAUUAGAAAAUAAGUAAGUUUUAAAUUAAAAAGAAACUUUAAUUUUAAGUUAGAUAAUUAUUUGAAUUUUGAAAUCAAUGUAUCAUUAUCCAUAAUUUUAUAAAAAUAGAGAAAUUAUUUAGAGUGAAAAAGGAAAAGAAAAAAAGAGUUAGACAAUAUUUUGUAGUUUUGUUGCGAUCAUAAUUAGUUAUCAACAAGUCUAUCAAAAAAGCAAUAUCUUCAUUAGGAGUUGGAGUAAAAGAAUUAUUAUUUUUUGUCCUAAACAAUUUAACAAAUUGUUGAUAUUUUUUUUUUCAUUUCAUAAAUUGAAUUUUUUAAAAAAAUAAAAAAAUAAUUUAGAUUGCCAAAUUUUUUUUAUUUUAAUUUUAUAUAUUUAAUAAAUAAUAAUUUUAUCAUCAUUAAUAUGUGUUUGUGAUGAAUAUCUUUUUUAUUUUUCUUUUAAUUAAAAAAUAGAAAUGGAAAAGAGAAUGUAACUGAAAUUUUUUUUUAAAUUUAUUAUUUUCAUUCAAAUAAGUGUAAUUAUUUUAUACCCUACCAUUUCUUUAUUUUUGAAUAUUCAAACGAGAAAAUAAUUUUAAUUGUAAAAAAAACAUUUGAAUUUUUUAUAUGAAUUCUAUAAUUAUUCAUAACAGUAAUUUUUUCUUUAUUAAAAAUCAUUAUCUAAGCAUACUUCUAUCUAUAAUUCUAUAUAAAUAAAAAGGUUAUUUACAAAAAAACAAAAAAGAGUUAAACUCUUUUUAAGGAUUUUACUAAAUACCCUCGUAAAAAAGUAUCCUUCCUUGAAAAAAAGACAAUUUUCACAGAGUAAUUAAAGGAGAUAAUAUCUUAGUAAGUUCACAUAUCAUAUAGUGUGAUAUAACCUUUCAUUUCUUUUAUUGACAAUUGUGAGUUUGAAGUCUUUUUAGGAAUCGAACAAGUUUGAGAAAAGGGUUGUUGGUCCCAAGAUUUUGUAUUAAAUGUAGGAUCAUAAAAUAUUUAAAAUAGGAAGUCAUGGGCCCACCAAUUGCACCCAAAUUUAAAAAGAAAUUAGUUUUACUUUUUAAUAGUUUUAUAUGAAGGUGCCUUGGAAUUGGAUGAAAUCACUGGAUUGAAAUCAAUAUUUUGAUCUUCCAUUAAAUGAAAGGAUGACAACUUAGUAAAUGUAUGAAGAAAAUAAAAUUGAAUAAUAAUGAUAACAAAACUUAUCCCGUGUAAUAUUAGACAAAAUAUAUAAAAGAUAAUAGUAAGAUAAGAGAGUAGGAAUAAGGUGAAGAAAAAAAAUGUCAAAUAAAAUAGAAAACUUGGUGAUGUCCCACUUGAAAACAGAAGAAGAGCAAAGGUGAUAAGAAAAAGAGAAAUAUGAUAAAAGAAUCUUUAAGUCAAUAGAGACAGAGAGCUGCUCCUAAUUUUCCUUGUCAAUUUUCGAAAGGUCAUCAAAUCACCUGCCUUCUUAACUUUGAUUAUGUUUGAUAGUGAUUUUAGGACUAAUAUUUAAAAAAUAAAAAUUUUCAAGUGUUAAAAUAAUCAAAAAUAUUUUUUAAAAUCAGUAUAAAAUGUACUCUUUUUAUAUUGUAAUUUUUUUUUAUAUUGUAACUACUUUCAUGUUCUUUCCUACAGUAAUAGGAUGUCUAAAGUUUUUUUUUUUUUUUUUUUUUCAUGUUAUUCAUUUUAUUUAUUGGAUUGAUUUUCAUGUGAAAAAUCAUUUUAUUUAAGAAAAAUAAUAAUUUGACUUAUUUUAAAAAAAAUAUUUAAUCUCUCUUAAAUCAUUCACAAAAUGAAUUAAUUUUUUAAUAAAAGUAAUUUUAAUUUAGUUUUAAAUUAUUUCUCAUUUAUAUUUAGAUAUAUACAUAUAAAAAAGAUUAUUUUUUAAUAUUUAAUAUUUAAUAUUUAAAUUUUAUUUUAGUAAUGAUUUAUUUAGAAUAUUUUCGGGUUUUUAUUAGAAUUAAUUGCUACAUUUUUAUUCUUCCUUCUUCAAAAAUAAAACUAUUUUUUUGUUUUAAAGAUAAAGCUCUUCCAAUAUUAAUGCACUAUUUCAAGUUAAUAAAAUCAUUUCCUUUUAUUUUAGUUUACUUUUAUUUAUUUAUUUAUUAUAAAUUAUAAUAUUAUCAAUAAUAAGAUUUAUCUAUAAAAUAAUGUCAGAAAAUAGAUAUAUUAUUCAUUCUAAAUAUAUCAAUCCAUUCCUCUUUCUUUAACAUAUUUUCAUUUUCAUAUAGUCGGUCAGCGCAUAUCGUUUACUUUAAUUUUUUAUUAAUAUUUUUUUAUGUCCUUAAAGAAAAAAUAAAAUAUUAAAUAAAAUAUAAAACAAAAAACUUGGUGGUGAUGUAAAGGAGCGUACAGUUGACGAUUGAAUGGUCCGAGAGAGAGUUGGUCAGCUACUUUAAUUCAAGAUUGGUUGGCCCGAGAGACAGAGAGCUGUCCCUAACUUUCCUCUUCACUUCCUGGAAGGCGCCUUGCCUUCCCAACUUUUUAUAUUAUAAGUUAGGGUUGCACGAUCUCCUCAGUUACUCACCAUCUUGAAGAGAAAUCAACCCUCUAAACUGUCUUUGUAGUUUUGAGAUAGAAACCUACAAUGGCUUCCACAAGCUUCUUUACAGCCUCUGCUUCUUCUACUCCUUCCAUCCCUCAAAGGAUUCAUGAUGUUUUCUUGAGUUUUAGAGGCGUGGACACUCGCUGUAAUUUCACUGAUCACCUCUCCAAAGCUUUGGUUGACAGAGGCAUUCGCACCUUCAGAGACGAUAAACUCAGGAGAGGAGAAGCGAUUGCUCCAGAACUCUCGAAAGCCAUUGAAGAAUCAAGGUCUUCCGUAAUUGUUUUCUCUGAAAACUAUGCUCGUUCGAGAUGGUGUUUGGAUGAGUUGGUAAAGAUCAUGGAGUGCCAGAAAGAUCUGGGACAUGCUGUUUUCCCAAUUUUCUAUCAUGUGGAUCCAUCCCAUGUACGAAAGCAAGAAGGAAGUUUUGGAGCGGCCUUUGCCGGUUAUGAAGCAAACUGGAAGGACAAGGUAGGAAGUUGGAGGACGGCCUUGACGGAAGCAGCCAAUCUUGCUGGAUGGCAUCUACAAGAUGGGUAACUUUAAUUUCCUUUCAACUAUUUGUAAGUAUAGGAAUGAGUAGUUUUGCAUUUAUAGUCAUAAAGUUGAUUGAAAUAUUUAUAAACACACGGGACAGAAUUUUUUUAUUUGGAGUUCUGCUAGUUAAGUUGUGGAAACUAUAAGUUUGAUAACCAAAGGGAAUUACUGAAAACCUAGAUUAAGAGAUGGUAUUUCUAUUGAAAAUACUUUUAAUGGAAGUGUUUUAUAAGUGUUUUUGAUCAAAUCAGUUGUGUUCUCCAUGAAUUGAUUUUUUUUUUAAACUUUUCAAAAGUGAUUUCUAAAUUUUAUUAACUUUGAGUCAGUUUUGCAGUGAUCCUAAGAAGCCUUUUUAAUUUAAAAGGUGUUUUUGAAAAAAAAAAAAAAAAUAGGUGUUUUGUAAAAUUUAUGAAACACUUUUAAAAAUAUAAAAGGUCGGUUGAGUGUUUUUUGGAAAAAGAUUUGAUACGUAAUUCUUCUUAAAACACUUAGGGGUGUUUGGUAUAUAAGAAUAGAGAAUGAAAAUGAAUAUUUUGUUUCCAUUCCUAUUUUUCAGUGAAUGGAAAUGAAUUUGGUGAUUAUAUUUCUAGGGUUUGGAUGCACUUAGGAAUUCAAGGUUGGAAUGUUAUUUGUUAUCAUUCUAAUAUUUGGUAAUAAUAGGAAUGAAAAUGAAAAAUAAAUAAAUUGACAAUAAUACCUUUACUAGUUUAAAAUAAUUUUUUUUUUAUUUUCAUUUAAAAAUAAAUAAUUUUUGAGAUUUUUUUUUCCUAAAUAAUAAGACUAAAAAAAAAGUCUUAUUAGGGGAUGAAGAGGCAUGAGCCUUGAUGAAGGAUGUUCAAGGGUAAAUAGUAAUUUUAAACUAUUUUAUAUUUUUUUAUAGGAUGAAUGAAUCAAAAUACCACCUACUUGCAAUGAAUUAAAAUCCUACUUUUAAUUUCUAUUGGAAUCAUUUUUUUUUUCAUUCUUACCUUGGUAAAAUUUAUCCAAACAUGGGAAUGAGAGGGAAGGAAUGAGAUUUCUAUUCCCACUCCUCAUUCCCACAUACCAAACACCUCCUUAAAGAAAGGACUUUCAUUAAAGAGAUUUGAGUAGAAAUACUCUCAAACGCCUUUAAAAACAUUUAUUUGAUUAAAAGUCCCUUUUAGAAAAUGGGGUUUUCAAACUUAAAAACUUCUUAUAUUUAGAUGUUGAGUACUACAUCUAGAAUGAAGCUUCAAGCAUUAAUUAUAAGAUAUAAAACAAAAGUCAAAGAAUAAAAUAUUUGCUCCUGUAAAAUUUUCAAUUGUCAUGGGAUGUUAAAGAGUUUUUUGAAAUGUACAUGAAUGAUAAAGUAAUAUCUUGAUUCAUAAUCAUUAUCCUUAUUGUGGCACAAAAUUUCCAUUUGAAGUUAUGCCACAAGCAUCACCAAUAACAAAAUUCAUAUUUUAUUUUUCAUUCUCAUACAUACUCGAUACAAUGAAAAAUGUCAUAAAAUGUAAAUGAACUACUGUUUUUUUAUAUAUUAUGUUUUACUACAAUUUAUUUGUUGUAAAGAUGGUAAACUUAAUGUGUUUUAUUUACCAUUGUCACUCAUUGCUCAACAUAUUGUAUUUUUAUAAUUGGCAGGUAUGAGACCGACUAUAUUAAGGAAAUAACUAAUAACAUAUUCCAUCGAUUGAAUUGUAAGAGGUUUGAUGUUGGUGCCAAUUUAGUUGGUAUAGAUUCCCGCGUAAAAGAGGUGAGUUUGCUGUUGCAUAUGGAAUCAAGUGAUGUUUGUAUUGUUGGGAUAUAUGGAGUUGGUGGGAUAGGUAAGACAACCAUCGCAAAAUUUAUAUAUAAUAAACUUUCUUGCGAAUUUGAAUAUAUGAGCUUUCUUGAAAAUAUUAGAGGGAUUUCCAAUACCAAAGGUUUAACUCACUUACAAAAUCAACUUCUUGGUGAUAUCCGAGAGGAAGAGCGAAGUCAAAAUAUAAACAUUGUUGACCAGGGAGCAAGUAUGAUAGAGACCAUUCUCUCAUCUAAAAGUGUUUUUAUUGUUCUUGAUGAUGUUGACAAUCGAAAUCAAUUAAAAGCUUUACUUAGGCAUCGUGGAUGGCUUGGAAAAGGAAGUAGAGUCAUCAUAACAACUAGAAAUAAGCAUUUGUUAAUUGAACAAGAAGUGGAUGACUUGUAUGAGGUUAAGGGAUUGAAUACUGAAGAAGCUUGUGAACUUUUCAGUUUGCAUGCCUUUAAACAAAAUCUUCCCAAAUCAGAUUUUAUAAACCUCUCAUAUCGUAUGGUGUACUAUUGUCAAGGCCUUCCAUUAGCUUUGGAAGUUCUAGGUUCUCUCUUAUUCAACAUGACAAUACCUCAAUGGGAAAGUCAAUUGCAUAAAUUGGCUAAAGAACCUAUGGCUGAAAUUCACAAUGUGCUUAAAAGUAGCUAUGAUGGAUUAGAUCGUACAGAAAAAGAUAUUCUCCUUGAUGUUGCAUGUUUUCUUAAAGGUGAAAAAAGAGAUUCUGUGUUAAGAAUAUUAGACGCUUGUGCAGGAAUUGGAAUACAAAAUUUGAAAGACAAGUGUCUUAUAACUCUCCCAUACAACCAUAAGAUAGAUAUGCAUGAUUUGAUACAACAGAUGUGUUGGGAAAUUGUUCGUGAAAAUUUUCCUAAAGAGCCGAACAAAUGGAGCAGAUUAUGGGAUUCCCAUGAUAUUGAACGUGCACUUACAACAUCUGAGGUAAGAGCCAAAUGCAUAAAUUCACUUAAGCUCUAGUUAAAGAUAUAAAUUUCAAUAAUAGUAUCCUUCUUGUAUAAGAACUUACAUAUCCAUAUAAGUUGAGUUAGAUUGUAUUUAUGUUUGCUUUAUCCUUAUUAUUUUUCAGGGAAUAAAAGGAGUUGAAACAAUAGACUUGGACUUGUCUAAGUUAAAAAGAGUACACUUCAAUUCAAAUGUUUUCUCAAAGAUGACUAGCCUUCGAUUGCUCAGAGUUCAUUCAUAUGUCAAUAUAUUUCUUGGUUGUUAUGAUGAGAUGAAGGAGGAGGAGGAGGUAGAUCCUUAUUAUGAAAAAAUAAUUGAUUCUGCAAAGAAAACUGCUUCGAAAGUGCAACUUGACCUAGAUUUUGAAAUUCCCUCUAAUGAGUUAAGGUAUCUUUGUUGGGAUGGGUAUCCUUUAGAUUCUUUACCAUCAAAUUUUGAUGGAGAGAACCUUGUUGAACUUCACUUGAAGUGUAGCAACAUAAAACAACUAUGGCAAGGGAAUAAGGUAUUAUUAUCAUUUAAUAAUGACUUCUUUUGCUUUAUAUUGAUAUAAAAAUUUCUAAUAGUUAUUUCUUUUAUUGACACUAUUUUCUUUUGUUAUAGUAUCUUGAAAGUUUAAAGGUCAUUGAUCUAAGUUACUCAACGAAGCUCGUUCAAAUGCCAGAAUUCUCAAGCCUGUCAAAUUUGGAGAGACUAAUUCUUAAAGGUUGUGUAAGCUUGAUCGAUAUUCACCCAUCUCUUGGAGUUCUCAAGAAGCUUACUACCUUAAAUUUGAGGUUGUGUCAUAAGCUUAAGGGUUUGCCAAGUAGCAUUAGCAACUUGGAAUCUCUUGAAUUGCUUGAUCUCUCUAAGUGUUCAAGAUUUGGCAAGUUCUCAGAAAUUCAAGGAAAUAUGAGAUGUCCGUGGGAACCAUAUUUGAAGGAGAUUGCUAUUAAAGAACAUCCAACAAGCAUUGAAAACUCAAGAUCUUUUUGGGAUCUUGAUCCUUGUGGACACUCAAACUUGGAGAAAUUUCCGGGGAUCCAAGGAAAUAUGAGAAGUUUACGGCUUCUAUAUUUGAGCAAGACUGCUAUUAAAGAACUUCCAGGUAGCAUUGACUUAGAAUCUGUUGAGAGUCUUGAUCUCUCUUAUUGUUCUAAGUUUAAGAAAUUUCCAGAGAAUGGAGCAAACAUGAAAAGUUUACGGGAGCUUGAUUUAACCCAUACUGCUAUUAAAGAACUCCCAAUAGGUAUUUCCAACUGGGAAUCUCUUCGAACUCUUGAUCUUUCUAAAUGCUCAAAGUUUGAGAAAUUUCCGGCCAUCCAAGGAAAUAUGAGAAAUUUAAAGGAGCUUCUUUUAAACAAUACUGCUAUCAAGUGUUUUCCUGAUAGCAUUGGAUACUUGAAAUCUUUAGAGAUUCUUAAUGUCUCUGAUUGCUCAAAGUUUGAAAAUUUUCCGGAGAAGGGAGGGAACAUGAAAAAUUUGAAGCAGCUUCUUUUAAAAAAUACUCCAAUUAAGGAUCUGCCAGAUGGCAUAGGAGAAUUGGAAUCUCUUGAGAUUCUUGAUCUCUCUGAUUGCUCAAAGUUUGAGAAAUUUCCGGAGAAGGGAGGGAACAUGAAAAGUUUAGGCAUGCUUUAUUUAACAAAUACUGCUAUUAAGGAUUUGCCGAAUAGCAUUGGAUCCUUGGAAUCUCUUGUGGAGCUUGAUCUCUCUAAUUGCUCAAAGUUUGAGAAAUUUCCGGAGAAGGGGGGAAACAUGAAAAGUUUAGGCAUGCUUUAUUUAACAAAUACUGCUAUUAAGGAUCUGCCGGAUAGCAUUGGAUCCUUGGAAUCUCUUGUUGAGCUUGAUCUCUCAAAUUGCUCAAAGUUUGAGAAAUUUCCGGAGAAAGGAGGGAACAUGAAAAGUCUAGUGGUGCUGCGUUUAAUGAAUACUGCUAUUAAGGAUCUGCCGGAUAGCAUUGGAUCCUUGGAAUCUCUUGUGGAGCUUGAUCUCUCAAAUUGCUCAAAGUUUGAGAAAUUUCCGGAGAAGGGAGGGAACAUGAAAAGAUUAGGCGUGCUUUAUUUAACAAAUACUGCUAUUAAGGAUCUGCCGGAUAGCAUUGGAUCCUUGGAUCUUGUGGAUCUUGAUCUCUCAAAUUGCUCACAGUUUGAGAAAUUUCCGGAGUUGAAGAGAAGCAUGUUAGAACUGCGCACACUUAAUCUAAGACGGACUGCCAUUAAAGAGUUGCCCUCCUCAAUAGAUAAUGUCAGUGGGCUUUGGGACUUAGAUAUAUCGGAAUGCAAAAACUUGAGGAGUCUUCCCGACGAUAUUUCUAGGUUGGAAUUUCUUGAAAGUCUAAUCCUCGGUGGCUGCUCAAACCUGUGGGAAGGAUUAAUAAGUAAUCAGCUUCGCAAUCUGGGAAAGCUUAAUACCAGUCAAUGGAAAAUGGCUGAAAAGACUUUGGAGCUUCCUUCAAGUCUAGAACGAAUAGACGCACACCAUUGCACAAGCAAGGAAGAUUUAUCAAGUCUCCUCUGGCUUUGUCACCUCAACUGGUUGAAAUCUGCAACAGAGGUAUGAUUUUUAUUAAAUUAUUCCACUUAAACUUUUUUUUAUGUAGAGUCAACAUUUACAUAAUAAUUUGUGCAGGAGUUGAAAUGCUGGAAACUCAGUGCUGUUAUUCCAGAAAGUAGUGGAAUUCCGGAGUGGAUAAGGUAUGAUAAUUUGGGAAGUGAACUAACAACAGAGCUUCCAACGAAUUGGUAUGAAGAUCCUGACUUGCUAGGAUUUGUUGUAUCAUGUGUUUAUCAGCCUAUUCCUACAUCUCAUGAUCCUAGAAUAUCUUAUCACUUUAGUUCUGCUUUCAGUUGUGAAUUGAAUUUACAUGGUAAUGGAUUUGGAUUCAAGGAUGAACGCCGGUUUGGAUGCCGGUGUGAGUGCCAGGGUAAUUUUAAUGAUAUGAUAGAUCAAGUAUGGGUCUGGUGGUAUCCUAAGACUGCUAUUCCGAAAGAGCAUCUCCAUAAUUCCACACAUAUUAAUGCUUCAUUUAAGAGUAACACUUAUUACUGUGACGCUGUAAACGUAAAAAAAUGCGGCAUCAAUCUUAUAUUUGCGGGAGAUCAACAAAAUCAUAUGCCCAUGUUGGAGCAUCCUCAGAACUCUGGUGACAAUGGAUCAGCAUUACAAGAUACCAAUGGUAAUGUUCAUGGGGCUAAUCAAGAUGAUGAACACUACCAUAUUCCCAUGUUCUUGGAUCUUGAUGGGAAUUUUGGUGGCAAUGGAUCAGUAGUACUUGAAGACACUGUUGGAAACCGAAAGAGAAGACGUGAUGAUUCCUUACCCGUUGUAGUGGAGGAGCCACAUUAUAAAAGAUUGGGAGCACCCAACACUGAUCUCUCGCAUUGAACUCCAUCACCAGGUGCAUUAUCAACCCUUUUUCAUAGAUUCCAACUUCUCACCUUCUUAAAUUGUUUUUAAAGUUAAUAAACUAUUUUUGUCCGUUUCUUCAAACUCAUUUCACUUAUUUUCCUCCAUUAUAUAAAAAUUAAAUGAUUUAAAAAUACAUAAAUUUCUAUUCAAUUUUAAUUAAAUUUUAUUUUCUUUCAUAUUUUCUAUAGGAAAACCAAGUAUAAAAAAAUCAUUUUCCCUAGUGUAUUUUUAUUUCCUAACUACUCUCUAAGAUUCAAACAUAGUUUAUAGUGAUUGAUAUCAUGGCUAUGCAUGUACUACAUUUCAUAGAAUUUCUUCAUUUUCAAAAAAUAUGAAAAACAACUUAACUAACUUUGAAAAUCAUCAUUAGUUUAAAAACAUGUAUAGUUUUUUUUUCCAUUAUUUAUUUAUUUAAUUAGUUACAUAAAACCUCUACAAAGUGAUUAUGAAGCUCUAGGGAUUCUUCAUUACCUCAUUAGACAUAACAUUAAUUAAUUAAUUAAUUUUUUCUACUUGCUUUUAAGAUAAAAUUUGAAUAAGUUAUCAAAAUUAAUUAGAGAAGAACAUGUAAACAAAUUAGAAGUUAAAUUUGAAUGUAUUAUGAGGUAGAUAUAUGUAGAAAUUUAGUCGAUAGAAGUAAAUAGUAAAACUCCCAUAUAUUGAUUUUAAUAGUUUUAAG
rnacentral:lncRNA from 1 species